GGCGAGGUAGCUCAGUGGUAGAGCACUGGUCUGAAAAACCAGGUGUCGCUGGUUCGAUCCCAGCCCUCGCCA
rfam:Elusimicrobia bacterium RIFCSPHIGHO2_02_FTLL_57_9 rifcsphigho2_02_scaffold_54420, whole genome shotgun sequence.